AGAGAAGUACGUCUAUGACUCGGGUCAUGGGGAUGGAUGGAUCUCUCGGUAAUGGUGGAUCCAGAGUUCCAGACUCAGUUCAUCUUAUAGGCUUAAUUCGUACUGUAUCAUUUUGAUGAAUACGUUGCUCCCCUAUUUUUUCUACAAUCAAGAUGAUUUUCCUCUGUGGGGUAUGCAUAUCAUCUUCUUUCGUUUUCGUUAGAACAUAUCAUAUUUUGUUUGACACGCAGGCACAACGAUGGCAAAUAUUUGUUUUCAUCAGAAGUAUAUUUUCAUGAGAUACAAUGGCAAUCAGGCGGCACAUGCAGAAGAGUUGUGGAAGGUUGAUUGAGAAGUCAUAAGGACUGGGUGAAGCAAAAUGCAAUCUCCAAGGUUUCAAAAUGAGAAAUUGGAGCAUUGAGACCUUUGAACUGAAACCUAAAUAAAGAAUUGUGCAUGCAUCCAACAGAGAAAGGUGCGUACAUAUCCUGAGGGACAAUAAAAAAUGUGAGUUCUUUAUGGCAUAAUAUCAGGCACCGUUCUGAGUGAUCUCUUUGCAACUCAAGAUACCGAAUAGUUAUAUUAUUUCCUACCUGUAACCAAUUUCUGCACACCAAAACACAGAGUCAAGUCAGAUCUAUAGGAGGAUAAGUAUUCUUGGUGUGAUUACUAAUGAGACAAUGUAAGGAAUUGUUUCUAGAACUCAAUUUUAUUAUAAGUUCAAUAUCAGCACCACACAAUCUUUCUACUACCAUUCCUAGACAAAUAUCAACCCGUUACACAAGACAAUGCAAGAAAACAUAUGUCACACAGGACUAUUCUAUUUCCGUGCGCUUCACCGUUGCCGUCGAUGUUCCCAGCAGGCCACAUAUCCUCCAAUGGCAAUCUCAUGGGUCAUCUGAUGAGACCGAUAUGAACCAAACUUUUAGCUUAAUGAUGCAUGGUUAGAUAUAGAUAGAAGAACCGGUUGUACUAUAUCUUUUUUUUGCCCUGAAGUAGCGCUUCUACUUCUGAUUCAUGUCUACUUCAUGGUUGACAUCUUAAAGAAAAAAUACUCUAAAUUAAAAGGUGCAAAGAUUCUGUGGAUGACAUCCAUGCAUUAAUGCAUAUAGCUCUGAGUCUUCCUUUUCUCUUAUAUAUGAAUCUAUAAUCUGCUUUUGUCCAAUGGUACAAUUUAUCAAGUUCAACAAGGGUGUGGUUAGUGCCUUUUGUCCAUUCAAUCCAAAAACGGAUCGGGUUCUACUAUCGAAAGCGAUAACAAAAAAAACAUG